rnacentral:SRP_RNA from 1 species
GCUGGGUGUGGUGGCUCACGCCUGUAAUCCCAGCACUUUGGGAGGCUGAGGCAGGCGGAUCACCUGAGGUCAGGAGUUUGAGACCUGCCUGACCAACUUGGUGAAACCCUGUCUCUA